AGGUCAAGCUACAAAGGGCGCAUGGUGAAUGCCUUGGCAUCAGGAGCCGAUGAAGGACGUGAUAAGCUGCGAUAAGCUUCGGGUAGGCGCACAUAGCCUGAGAUCCGAAGAUCUCCGAAUGAGGAAACUCACAUGGGAAACCCCAUGUAUCAUUAAGUGAAUACAUAGCUUAAUGAAGGUAACCCAGGGAACUGAAACAUCUAAGUACCUGGAGGAAGAGAAAGAAAAAUCGAUUUUCUUAGUAGCGGCGAGCGAAAGGGAAAGAGCCCAAACCGGAAACUUGUUUCCGGGGUUGUGGACAUAACAUAAAAGUGGAGGCUAUUGUAACUGAAGAGAACUGGAAAGUUCCACCGUAGAAGGUAAUAGUCCUGUAAGUGAAACGAGAAGACCACGAGUUAUGAUCCAGAGUACCACGAGACACGUGAAACCUUGUGGGAAGCAGGGAGGACCACCUCCCAAGGCUAAAUACUACCUGAUGACCGAUAGUGAAGCAGUACCGUGAGGGAAAGGUGAAAAGAACCCCGGGAGGGGAGUGAAAUAGAACCUGAAACCGUGUGCCUACAACCGCUCAGAGCCCCUUAUGAGGGUGAUGAGGUGCUUUUUGUAGAACGAGCCAACGAGUUACGGUAUGUAGCAAGGUUAAGUACUUAAGGUACGGAGCCGAAGGGAAACCGAGUCUGAAUAGGGCGACUAGUUGCAUGCCGUAGACCCGAAACCGGGUGACCUAUCCAUGGCCAGGUUGAAGCGAGGGUAAAACCUCGUGGAGGACCGAACCACGUUGCUGUUGAAAAAGCAUGGGAUGAGCUGUGGAUAGCGGAGAAAUUCCAAUCGAACCCGGAGAUAGCUGGUUCUCUCCGAAAUAGCUUUAGGGCUAGCGUCGAGUAUGAGUAGUGGAGGUAGAGCACUGAAUGGGCUAGGGGGCAUAGCGCUUACCGAACCUUAUCAAACUCCGAAUGCCACAUACUUUGAGCUCGGCAGUCAGACUACGAAUGAUAAGAUCCGUGGUCAAAAGGGAAACAGCCCAGAUCGUCAGCUAAGGUCCCAAAGUGUAAGUUAAGUGGGAAAGGAUGUGAGAUUUCUAAGACAACUAGGAUGUUGGCUUAGAAGCAGCCAUUCAUUAAAAGAGUGCGUAAUAGCUCACUAGUCGAGAGAUCUUGCGCCGAAAAUGUAACGGGGCUAAACUUACCACCGAAGCUACGGGCUUGAACAUAGUUCAAGCGGUAGGAGAGCGUCGUAACCGGGCUGAAGUCGUACCGUAAGGAGCGGUGGACUGGUUACGAGUGAGAAUGUUGGCAUCAGUAGCGAGAUGUGGGUGAGAAUCCCACAGGCCGAAAACCUAAGGUUUCCUCAGGAAGGUUCGUCCGCUGAGGGUUAGUCGGGACCUAAGCCGAGGCCGAAAGGCGUAGGUGAUGGACAACUGGUUGAUAUUCCAGUACCACUACCAUCGUUAUUAUCGAUGGCGUGACGCAGGAGGAUAGUGUGUGCUAGCNNNNGAGGAGAGAAUCCUAAGGCCGGCGGAAGAAUUACAGUUAAGGAACUCGGCAAAUUGACCCCGUAAGUUCGCGAGAAGGGGUGCCUACGAGAGUAGGCCGCAGAGAAUAGGCCCAAGCAACUGUUUAGCAAAAACACAGGUCUCUGCUAAAGCGUAAGCUGAUGUAUAGGGGCUGACGCCUGCCCGGUGCUGGAAGGUUAAGGGGAACACUUAGCGCAAGCGAAGGUGUGAACUUAAGCCCCAGUAAACGGCGGCCGUAACUAUAACGGUCCUAAGGUAGCGAAAUUCCUUGUCAGGUAAGUUCUGACCCGCACGAAUGGCGUAAUGACUUGGGCACUGUCUCAACUGUAAAUCCGGCGAAGUUGUAGUGCGAGUGAAGAUGCUCGCUACCCGCGAUUGGACGGAAAGACCCCGUAGAGCUUUACUGUAGCUUAGCAUUGAGUUUUGGUAUUGUCUGUACAGGAUAGGUGGGAGACUAGGAAACCAGGGCGUCAGCCUUGGUGGAGUCAACCUUGGGAUACCACCCUGACAGUACUGAAAUUCUAACUGGCGGCCAUGAAUCUGGUCACAGGACAUUGUUAGGUGGGCAGUUUGACUGGGGCGGUCGCCUCCUAAAAAGUAACGGAGGCGCCCAAAGGUUCCCUCAGAACGGUCGGAAAUCGUUCGAAGAGUGCAAAGGCAGAAGGGAGCCUGACUGCGACACCCACAAGUGGAGCAGGGACGAAAGUCGGGCUUAGUGAUCCGGUGGUACCUCGUGGGAGGGCCAUCGCUCAACGGAUAAAAGCUACCUCGGGGAUAACAGGCUGAUCUCCCCCAAGAGUCCACAUCGACGGGGAGGUUUGGCACCUCGAUGUCGGCUCGUCGCAUCCUGGGGCUGAAGUAGGUCCCAAGGGUUGGGCUGUUCGCCCAUUAAAGCGGCACGCGAGCUGGGUUCAGAACGUCGUGAGACAGUUCGGUCCCUAUCCGUCGCGGGCGUAGGAAAUUUGAGAGGAGCUGUCCUUAGUACGAGAGGACCGGGAUGGACUGACCUCUGGUGUACCAGUUGUUCCGCCAGGAGCACAGCUGGGUAGCUAAGUCGGGAAUGGAUAAACGCUGAAAGCAUCUAAGCGUGAAGCCAACCUCAAGAUGAGAUUUCCCAUAGCGUAAGCUAGUAAGAUCCCUUGAAGAACACAAGGUUGAUAGGUCGGGGGUGUAAGCAUGGUAACAUGUUCAGCUGACCGAUACUAAUAGAUCGAGGGCUUGACCAAAU
rnacentral:rRNA from 1 species